GCCGCCACGGAGGGCGGAAAAGUUGUAUGACUUGCGAGUUUUUCGAAGAAAAACUCGGGUAUGAAAUUGCACAAGGAUGUGCAAUUUCAUACCGAC
rnacentral:sRNA from 1 species